rnacentral:lncRNA from 1 species
UGGAGCUUAGAAAGAAUACCAACACUCUGGACUGUGACCUCUGUUCAGCAAUCUGGGAGUUUUGGGAAAGAGAAACUGCCUUGGUCCCAGUGUUUUAUCUCAGCAACAAGAAAGUAACUAAUAUAGUCAGACCUCCAUGAGGCACUCAGGAAGCCCUGCACAACUUUGUGAAGCACAUUGAGCACAGCUGACUAUGUCGCAUUUCUACUCUCAGUCCACUUCGCAGGACCAAGUCAUCAACUAUUCCACGAUAACUAAAUACUUCUUGCAGUCCUUGGA